AUGUCGGUCUUCGAACGAUUUAUUUAUUUAUUUAAUUUUUUUUUUCUUUUUUCUUCAUUUUGCGAAUUUAUAAAAGUGUACUCACCGAGCAUGGAGCAUGGGACAUAUGAUAUGUGGUAUCUAAGCCGCAGUAGAAGAGACUGCUUGAAAAAGAAGGAGAGGAGGAUGAAGAGCAGGAGAAGCAUGGUAAAGGAGGAGGAAGAAGAAGAAGAGGAGGUGGAGGAGGAGAAAGAGGAGGAGGAGAAAAGAACGUUUUUCUUCAAAGACUCCUCGUAACUCGGCGUGCUUGAGAGCAGAUUCUCUUCGUAAAGGGAGAAAGAGAAAGAGAAAUAGAAAGACAGAGAGAGAGAGAGAGAGAGAGAGAGAGAGAGAGAGAGAGAGAGAGAGAGAGAGAGAGAGAGAGAAAGAGAAAGAGAGAGAACUGAGAGCACGUUGUAACGCGUUGUACGUAAAUAUUUAUUCGUUUCUCUCUCUCUCUCUCUCUCACUCUACCUCUCUCUCUCUCUUCCUUUUUUUCUUUCUGUGUGAUCAUUAAGAAAAAACAAUUCAAGGGAUUUCAAUUCGUAGCGCCAGGAUUGCUUAGUGAUUUGAAGCACGUCAAUAUAAUGUUCUUUGCUUAAGAUAACAGACAAGAGAGUUUUUGGUAUAUUCCAUUGAUAAGCGAGAUAUUGUGUGUAGAGUAGUUCGCGUGGGUCGACCCGAUCAGACGAUGAUGUCAUCAAUAUAAUUUCUAACAAUUACGAUGAUCUGAACUGUCGUAUCUAUCAUUAUAUAUUGGAUUUAAUGAGGAUUUUUUAUUUUUUUUUUAAUCGAUUCGAUGAUCCGAUUAUUCCGAUCGAACGACUUUUAUUAGAAUUAUUUCGAAUGAUGUUUCGAGGUCGUUCUGCAUGUUGAUUAAUUUUUCUUCCCAUUCUUUCUUUCUUAUAUUUUUUUUCCCUCUUCUUCUUCUUCUUUUUCUUCCUAUCCUUUUCUUUUUUCUUAUUUUCUUUUAAUUAGCGCGAAAAUAACGGAUUCCUCGUUGAUAUUAAAUAAAACGUGAGUGACCCGACUCGCGAUGAUAAAUACUAAACGAAAUUUUCCGUUGGCGAUUAGCGAAUCUUACGAAAGAGAAAAAGGGAGAAAGAAAGAAAAAGAGAGCGAGAGAAAGAGAGAGAGAAAAAGAAAGAAAGAAAGAAAGAAAGAAAGAAAGAAAGAAUUAAUAAUAAAAUAUAUACGCAUAUAAGUGUAUCAAGUGUAUCAAGUAAAAUUAUCAAGAUUUAAAUUAUCUCGAAUGAAAUUUAAAUUCAAAUAUACAUAAACAUUGUUAGACUUUAUUGUGAAUCGAUUAAUCUAAACGGGAUAAUAUACGUAAGUUUCAUAAUUUUACGAUAAAUCUUUCAAUGCCCUCGAAUUAUGUUAUCAAAGAUGUAUGUAGUAUGUACGUAAUGUUCUGUGAUGCUCUGUGUACGAUGAAGAAAAGAAAUUAUAAAAAUUAAGUACGCAUACUUUUA